UGGGGAAUAUUGGACAAUGGGCGCAAGCCUGAUCCAGCCAUGCCGCGUGGGUGAUGAAGGCCUUAGGGUUGUAAAGCCCUUUCGGCGGGGAAGAUAAUGACGGUACCCGCAGAAGAAGCCCCGGCUAACUUCGUGCCAGCAGCCGCGGUAAUACGAAGGGGGCUAGCGUUGCUCGGAAUUACUGGGCGUAAAGCGCACGUAGGCGGCUUGUUAAGUCGGGGGUGAAAUCCCGGAGCUCAACUCCGGAACUGCCUUCGAUACGGGCAAGCUCGAGUCCGGGAGAGGUGAGUGGAACUGCGAGUGUAGAGGUGAAAUUCGUAGAUAUUCGCAGGAACACCAGUGGCGAAGGCGGCUCACUGGCCCGGUACUGACGCUGAGGUGCGAAAGCGUGGGGAGCAAACA
rnacentral:rRNA from 1 species